UAAUGUACAAACAUGUAAGUGUACAGUAUGUGAGUAGGCCAUAUUAUAUUUGAAGUACACUGUAAGUACGUCUGUGUACACGGUAACUGCGUCUGUAAGUGCGUCUGUAAUCAAGUAUACACUGUAAGAAAGUCUGUAAGUACGUCUGUAAGUGCGUCUGUAAGUACACUGUAAUACACGGUAACUGCGUCUGUAAGUACACUGUAAGAAAGUCUGUAAGCACGUCUGUAAGUACACGGUAACUGCGUCUGUAAGUGCGUCUGUAAUCAAGUAUACACUGUAAGAAAGUCUGUAAGUGCGUCUGUAAGUACACUGUAACUGCGUCUGUAAGUGCGUCUGUAAUCAAGUAUACACUGUAAGUGCGUCUGUAAGUGCGUCUGUAAGUACGUCUGUAAGUGCGUCUGUAAGUACACUGUAAGUACUGUAAGUGCGUCUGUAAGUACGUCUGUAAGUGCGUCUGUAAGUACACUGUAAGUACUGUAAGUGCGUCUGUAAGUACGUCGGUAAGUGCGUCUGUAAGUACACUGUAAGUACGUCUGUAAGUACACUGUAAGUACACUGUAAGCACGUCUGUAAGCGCGUCUGAAAGUGCGUCUGUAAGUGCGUCUGUAAGUACACUGUAUACACGUCUGUAAGUACACUGUAAGUGCAUCUGUAAGUACACUGUAAGUGCGUCUGUAAGUGCGUCUGUAAGUGUGUCUGUAAGCGCGGCUGUAAGUACACUGUAAGUACACUGUAAGCACGUCUGUAAGUACGUCUGUAAGUGCGUCUGUAAGUACACUGUAAGUGCAUCUGUAAGUACACUGUAAGUGCGUCUGUAAGUGUGUCUGUAAGCGCGUCUGUAAGUACUGUAAGUGUGUAAGGGCACUAUAAAGACACUCAAUGUGGCUCCUCCAACCUCCAUCCCCAGUGUGUGUCAGGUGGGGAGGUAAGAGGCGGGGCGGGUUCACCGCCAACCAGAGCCCCACGGGGGGCCAAGCUGCCGUUUAAAAGCUAUUAUAAAUGCUAUGCCAUUAGCGACCGCCUCCAGCUAGCGCUCGCAAUGAAUAGGGGAUGCAAGGUGAAAUUCAUCUUCACAGAGUCAAAGGGCUAGUU
ensembl:lncRNA